UGGAGAUAGCUAGGUUGAUUGGGACACACGAAGCCAAUCAAAGGCUGGCUGGAACUAGUUAAAAGCCUCCCACUUAGUCAGUAAGGUGUGUGUGUGUCAGGAGCGAUAGGAGGAAGCUGUGUUGCUGGAGAAACUGGGUAGUACAAAUCCUAUCAGGCAUAAGGAAGAAAGCCCUGAGUUGCUGCCAGGUGGCAAUUUGCUGGGCAUGAGGAACUCUCUUGGCUGGAAAGAGGAAGAGACAGUUGGAAUGGGAUCCUUGAGCCUGUCCAGCCAUGCCAAUCCCUGCCUCCCACCUGCCAGAAACUCCACUACUCUGUUAGGCAUGUCCUACUGAUAACUGAAAAAUUGAUGACGCUGAGUGGCUAAGUGUUUCAUUUAUUCACAAGGGAUCUGCCCAUGCCUUGUUCAGCACUCCUAAUAAUGGCUUGCAAGAGAAAUCAGCUAUCUAAAAAAUUAGUGAGGACCACAGCCCAGAUCACAGAGGUCUACUGAUCAUGCAUCUUUUCAUCUCCAGUUGUAGUCUUGCCAGAUCUCAGAAGGAAAGAGUGAUCCUUAAAAAUCAGUUCUUAGAUGUGAGCUCUAAAGGAGAAACCCAGAUACUGGUAUUGUAAGAAACAGCUUUGGGACUCAAUUGGAACUCAGUUGAAUUCAAAACCCAAACUCAACAUGAUGGCAUACAUUUCACUUUGUUCUGAAAGCAGGGCUAUCCAUGCAAGUAGCUGUUACAGGACUUUUCCCCAA